UUUUGUUUGGUUUUUUUUUAAUGCGCCUUCUAAGCUGUCCAGUAACAACUCUGUUACAGAGGUGGGGGUUUUAAUGUUGUUUUUUUCUCCCGCAGUGUUCCCCAAAGACAGCUUCCUGCGGACCCUGCCGUUGAUUAAUCUCAAACGACUGACUGUGACACCCCUAGGACACGCUUCUCUGAGGUUCUAGUGUGGCCUCCAUGUGGAAAAGGAGAAAGUCAUAUCUAUUUCCAUCAUGAAAUAUCAAGAUACUUGAAUGUUUGAAGUAAGGUUAAAACCGGCAGUAAGAGCUCAAGAAAGAACUCAGAUGUUAGAAUUGAUGUGACAUAAGAAGGUUGCUGAAGAGAAAGGAAAGGAAGCUUUCAAACUUAAGAGGAUCUGCAUCAGAGAAUGGUUUUUGAGGGGUGAAUUCUGCAUGUUCCCAAAUUAGUCAAAUCUGGAGAUGCCUGGGCCACUCUAGGCUGAACCCUUCUUUGGAGAAAGCAUGGAGAAGUCUGUUUGAACAUUAUCCUGGCCUCACCUACGGUGCUAAAUAUGAUAUGAAGAGAUCUUCUAACAAGAUAAUUCAUGUGCUCUCAACAUCACCCAAUGCCUUGGUGCCAUGGCUCAUCUAGGCAAGGCUUUUGUGUUUCUUAAAAUACAUCAAAGAAUGAUAAAAAGAACUGAGAGAAAACUCCAACUACUGACAUGAGGAAGGACAAGGUUAAGAGCUUUGGAUUUUUGCCUGCUGAGUAAAAGACAUCAGAUAAAUAAUUCAAAUGU